rnacentral:lncRNA from 1 species
AGUGGGUUGUGAUACCUCAGCUUGCCGCAAUACUAGGUCACCAACUUGGAACUCCUUGGUCUUGACUCAGGCAUUAUAAUAGUUGGCUACUCUCUGGUGAUAGGCAGCCAUCCACACAGCGGCAUGCUCCAUACUUUCUUCAAUCAAGUUGAGAUUAGCCUGGAGCCAUACUGAGUUGGUGUCUUCAUCAUAUUCCUCCACUCUAAGAGAUGAAAAUCCAAACUCCACAGGAAUGAC